GCCGGGCACAGUGGUACACGCCUGUAAUCCCAGUGGCUCAGGAGGCUGAGGCAGGAGGAUUGCAAGUGGAGGGCCAACCUUAGCAACUUAGCAAGGCCCUAAGCAACUUGGCAAGACCCUGUCUCUA
rnacentral:sRNA from 1 species